rnacentral:tRNA from 1 species
GAUAAAAUGGCUGAUUUAAGGUAAUAAACUGUAAAUUUAUUCAUGAGUAAGAACUCUUUUAUCA